UACACACCAGAUAACGUUACUGAUUCAGCAAACAAUAAACAGUGAUCAAAUGGUUAUGCUAACUAGCCUAGUAACGCAAAAAAAUGUAUAGCUGCGUUUAACAAUGUAAUUAACUAGUGGUAAGCUGGUCAGGUAGCAGUAACGUGCAAAUAAUGAUUGUACUUACUUCUCUUUGGGGAGGGCCGCUGCCCCAGUAUUCACCACCUGGUCCUCUGCGACUUCCCGAACCAGCUGAAGUAUACCUCCUGCGCGGUGGAGAACGUCUGUAUGGAUCUGGAGGUGGUCCGUCAUGUUCUGAAAAACAAAGUGGAUGCUUUUUCAUUAUUCUUGAUACUCUGUCCGCUACGUCGCUUUCCUCUCAACAAGCACACAAUGUCAGAUGUCACAACAUGCACACCUCAAUGUCACCUAUGGAAAAGAGUAGAGACUCCUGGAUAGAUUGGAGGAAAAAGCAAACCGCUGGUCAGCCACAGACAACCUACCAGCUUGGAAGCAGUGGGGGAAAAAACUCAAAUGGACUGGAUUAAGUUAGAAAUAAAAGGAAUUCUAAUACAUAAGAGAACCUUGGAGUGGCCAAUCUUCUGCUAGCUAACUACUACACUAGAAAAGCUUUAGCAGCAAUGUACAAAUAAACCUCUUGUUUACGUGUAGAAUUUCUGUUGGAUGUGUACA